GACGAGCGCUGGCGGCGUGCUUAACACAUGCAAGUCGAACGGAAAGGCCCUGCUUUUGUGGGGUGCUCGAGUGGCGAACGGGUGAGUAACACGUGAGUAACCUGCCCUUGACUUUGGGAUAACUUCAGGAAACUGGGGCUAAUACCGGAUAGGAGCUCCUGCUGCAUGGUGGGGGUUGGAAAGUUUCGGCGGUUGGGGAUGGACUCGCGGCUUAUCAGCUUGUUGGUGGGGUAGUGGCUUACCAAGGCUUUGACGGGUAGCCGGCCUGAGAGGGUGACCGGCCACAUUGGGACUGAGAUACGGCCCAGACUCCUGCGGGAGGCAGCAGUGGGGAAUAUUGCACAAUGGGCGGAAGCCUGAUGCAGCAACGCCGCGUGCGGGAUGACGGCCUUCGGGUUGUAAACCGCUUUCGCCUGUGACGAAGCGUGAGUGACGGUAAUGGGUAAAGAAGCACCGGCUAACUACGUG
rnacentral:rRNA from 1 species